GCAGCCAUCUCUCUUAUAAUUCAGAAACCAGUGAAUCUAUUUCUAAACGUUUGCUGUUUCUCGCUCAUGGAUAGAACAGCAAGUAAAGUCAACCUUCUCUGUGUCCUACAACUUCUUAUAUACUUUUGACUUCUCUCGACUUCCAGAAUGAUCGCAAGGCAGCAAAGUCAUUUUGCAGGAAACACUUUCCAUCCAUCCAUCCCAAUGGCACUACAGCCCAUGGAGGGCUUUAGCUGGCUUCAACACAUCCCUCCAUUCAGAUCUCUCCUUAGCCUUUUAUCUCCGUCACUAUCUGUGGGUCUUCAUACAAUUGAUAUAUCUCAUGUAUCUGCACUAUUCAACACAUUCAGAGAGGAAGCAGCAGCUCAAACUUCAACAUUUUUGAGUCUUUCAAUUUUGCUGUUGUCACGUUCUCCACUGUUGGCUAUGGAGAUGUUUCCUCUGACAUUUGGCUGGGCUGACUCUUAAUGAUUCUAACCAUUUCCCUGGCAUUUGUUUUUAUACCUAGCCAGAGAUGUAAUUCUGCUGUGUCCCCGUGAGUUGGAAACCAGUAAGCAAGUCAUCUAAUAGAGGUCUGAUAGAGUCAUGUACAUCAAGCGAUCAGCACUAAAAGAUGUGGACCUGAUGUGGUGUCAUGAAGCUUUUGCUUGCUUCUUUUGGCUGUUCGUUUAACACAAGACAAAGCACAUACUGAUCCUCAUACCAUUUUAAGAUCCUGGGAUGUGAAAGACUUUGCACCGGACUGUCGUCAGUAUCUUUACCUCUUCCAUGCCGGCAAUAAAAUACAUCUGAAACUUGUUGGGGAGACUAACGCUCUGAAAACAAUAAAUUGGGAAAAAAAGAUUUGAAUGCUGGGACAAGAAGCCCCUGGAUGAGGCUGCCAAGUGAUCGGUUCAAAUUUCGCACAGUUCAGGCCAAACUCUUAGGCCCUUACUCAAAUAGAGUAAUGUUAUUAAUAUAUUUACAUUUUGACAUCAAAGUUUGUACUUCACCGAUCAUAUUGUGCGUAAAGAUGGGUUAGGUUAGAUGAGUUCAGCUUUGCCUUGUUAGCCAACAACUGUCUGUAUCCUGGACUGUCCACACUUGUAUUAUUGCUGGUACACUUUCAGCAGUGAGCCAUGGCAGCAGACGUAUAGAAGGCAUGCUGGGAAUGAAAUUCAUCACAUACAGCUGCAAAAAAGUAUUUUCAUUGGUAAUUAUGUGGGCUGCACAAGCCUCAGCUGAUGCUCACCAAAGAACUGAGGCAAAUCUUUUUCGCUGUCCAUACCUUUCUUGGUUACCAUUUCUUUACAUAGUGUGUACAUCUGGAACCUGUCGUGAAUUGUCCAUAAAAAUAACACUUGGUAUAUGAUUGUCCUGCAGGACCAAGCCAGCUCAGACGUCGUUGUCUGAGGAUUGUAAAGAUAUUUGGAAGACCAAUUUUAUCAAGUAACUUUAUAAAUGUUAUAAUAUCAUUAGCUCUUGGAAAUCCUAUGCCGAACUGGGAGUCGAACACUUAGUGAGGUUGUGACUGAACGUCACAUGAGGUUUGCGGGACAUGUUCUACGUCAAAAUGAAUUACGCACACCAAGAGUUGCGAUAACAUGGAAGCCAAAACAAUGAAAGCGCAAACAGGGACGUCCUCGUAUUACCUGGCGACACACCUUCAUGGAGGACCUCAGAACAGUGGACACCAGGUGGGAGGAGGCUUCAGACAUUACCAGUGACAGAUCAUUAUGGAGACAGCUUGCCGCCCAAUGCGCCGAACGGCGCCGGAGGACCUAUGUCUAAAAUGUUGAGUCAGAUAUUGAAGCCAGAGCUUGUAUCUAAGUCAAAGACCACUAGUAUUUGACAGUGUUUACAGAGGACAAGAUGUCCCAGCUCAGUCCAAAAUUCAUAAAGACUGUGUCUCAGCGAAGCAUAAGAGUUGGUCUUGGAUUCAAACAGUCAAUGAAUGUUUAGGCAUUCAUAGUGAAAAUACUGCUAACUAUCAUCAGUUCUACCAUGAUGUUUGCCACCUGGAAGAAGACAUGCUUUCAUUCUUGCUUUGGAUGGACAGUUCAACAGCUAGAGCUCAAGUCAAGACUCAAGAUCCUGAUGUCAUGUUAAAACAUUUCAGAUUAAUAAACAAUUGUUGGACUAUCAGGGCUAGUUAGAUCUUCUCGCAGAGCGAAGUUGAGAUAUUCACCCAGUUCAUCACCGCCAAGAACUGCCAGAAUGGCAUUUGAAGGCUAGAGCUCUUGUCCAAUAUCAGCACAAACAUGUGUCAUUGGCAAAAGGGGACUUUGUCAAGAUUUUGGAAAAUUCUGAUGCUGAAAGAUGGAAGAUGGAAUAGAAAGUGAAGUUCCUGCUAUUGUGUUGGUCAUUCCUUCCUGCUUCCAACAGAUUGAUAAUUAUGUUUUUCCUGCUGAAGAUGGUGAAUGAGGCAGCAGACAUCUUGAAAGGAGCUGAUUUCGAGUUCCUUCAACAGUCUUUUCAUUUUAUUUAGGAAGAAGCUCAUCAGUCACUUCAAACCAGGUGAUGAUGGAGUCAUAAACAGUAGGAUACAGAGGUGAAACAAAACUGGAGCUUUAGUUUGUUUGUUUGUAGAACUUGGCAUCUACUCCAGACAUUAUUCUGAAGAACACUCAAGUAAAAGAAAAGAAGAAAUGUUAAAGGUUAAGGACUUGGGCUCCAAUCAUAAUUUCACUUCAAAAGCUUUAAUUUGAAAGGUCUUAUAUUUUUUGUGGAAAUAAAUUUUACUAGUGGAGUUUUUGUAGCUGCCAAAGUGGAUCAAGGUGGAUGUGAUAUCUAUUUAUAAACAUGUAUACCAGUAUAUUGUAAUCAGUGAUUUUCAUUUUUUGGUAACAGUUUGUUUCCAUUUAGAUUGCAGUCUUUCUUAUGUGAAAACAAGAUGUCUGCAUAAUCUUAGAGGACAUUUUUAAACUCAUUUAAAUUUAUUAGAUGAAAUAUUUAUAAAACAUAGAAUGUAAAUUGUUUUGUAAAAUGAUUAUACAUUUGAGUUCAUAAAAAUGUGUAAUUUUUUAAUGGCAUCAUGUUUCUGCUUAUCUGUAUCUGAUACUGAUGAUGUGUUUUCUAAAUCUAUUACUGCUUCACCAUUGAGGAAAAACUGCACAUGUUUAAACCCAUAUCUGAAGUAACUUUCCAGAAAAAAAAAAGAUGUAUGUUGGACAGUGUCCAAAAUUUCAAAUCAUUUCCUUCAAAAUGUUAUCAAUUUCCUCCAUAACUUCAUAACAUUAUUGAAUUUUUUCCUUCAGAACACAAUUGUAAAUUAUCUUUUUUUUUUUUUUUUUUGUUAAACCACAAUGAGAGUCUAAUAACUAAUAGUCUAGCAAACAAUUACUUAUAAUUUGCCUUAUUAUUAUACAAUAUUAAGAUUUACUUCUGCAGGGAUGAAAAACUUUUUUAAAAAUACAAUAGACAUGUAUAAUAAUAAAGUACAUUCACACCUGACUCACUCAUAAUUUACAUGUGAAAAGUUUAUAUCAGAUUGUUUCUAUUUAAUGAUUUGAUUGCCAUCAGUGUCUUGUAUCUCUUUUGUGAUGGUAAAGUCACAAAAUGUAGGAAACCCCACUGUGUUUGGUCCAGUAUGUGGGUUAUUAUAUGUAAGUCUAUUGUAUUUUCUAUAUUAUUUUACAAAUGUAAAAAAAAUAAAAAGAAAUUGUUACACUGUU